UCGCCUGUUUUAUCAAAAACAUGGCCUUUUGAUUAUAAUUUAAGGUCUGGCCUGCCCAAUGAGUUUUUAAAUGGCCGCGGUAUUUUGACCGUGCAAAGGUAGCAUAAUCAUUAGUUUUUUAAUUGAAAGCUGGAAUGAAAGGUUGGAUGAAAAAAUAACUGUCUCUGUUUAAAUUUUUUAGAAAUUUAUUUUUAAGUUAAAAAGCUUAAAUAAUAUUAGAAGACGAGAAGACCCUAUAGAGUUUUAUUAAUCUUUAUUAUUAACCCUUUAGAAUUUACUUUUUUAUAAUAAAUAUUAAUUUAAUUGGGGUGAUUGAAAAAUUUAAUAAACUUUUUCUAUAUUAAUACAUUAAUUUAUGGUUAAAUGAUCCUUUUAUUAAGAUUAUAAGAUAAAAUUACCUUAGGGAUAACAGCGUAAUUUUUUUAGAGAGUUCAAAUCGAAAAAAAAGAUUGCGACCUCGAUGUUGGAUUAAAAUAAAAUUUUGGUGUAGAAGCUAAAACAUUUAGGUCUGUUCGACCUUUAAAAUUUUACUUGAUCUGAGUUCAAAACCGGAG
rnacentral:rRNA from 1 species